GUGGUUUUCAAAAUCAAGGUGAUAUUGCCAUAGACGACUUAUCGUUAAGCGCUGGAUGCUUUGGCAUUGACUUUCAGUCCGAUCCUGUCAAAGACAUUUCUGAAGAUCGCGAAAUAAUUACUAUUCAGGAAUUUACCAAAGAUGUUAAAUUCCACUGUCAGAUUCUAAAAGAUAAUCCUCCAUCUAGUGUCAAGGCCCCUAAUGAGACG